GGAGCUGAGAGGAACAGGAAGUGUCGGGACUUUAGGACCCGCGCCUCCAGCUGAGGUUUCUAGACGUGACCCAGGGCAGACUGGUAGCAAAGCCCCCACGCACAGCCAGGAGCACCGCCGAGGCCUCCAGCGCACUGAGGGACAUGCUGGGCCUGCGCCCCCCACUGCUCGCCCUGGUGGGGCUGCUCUCCCUCGGGUGUGUCCUCUCUCAGGAGUGCACGAAGUUCAAGGUUAGCAGCUGCCGGGAAUGCAUUGAGUCGGGGCCCGGCUGCACCUGGUGCCAGAAGCUGAACUUCACAGGGCCUGGGGAUCCUGACUCCAUUCGCUGCGACACCCGGCCACAGCUGCUCAAGAGGGGCUGUGCGGCUGACGACAUCAUGGACCCCACGAGCCUCGCUGAAACCCAGGAAGACCAUGAUGGGGGCCAGAAGCAGCUGUCCCCACAAAAAGUGACGCUUUACCUGCGACCAGGCCAGGCAGCAGCGUUCAACGUGACCUUCCGGCGGGCCAAGGGCUACCCCAUCGACCUGUACUACCUGAUGGACCUCUCCUACUCCAUGCUCGAUGACCUCAGGAAUGUCAAGAAGCUGGGUGGCGACCUGCUCCGGGCCCUCAAUGAGAUCACUGAGUCCGGCCGCAUUGGCUUCGGAUCCUUCGUGGACAAGACCGUGCUGCCGUUCGUGAACACGCACCCCGAGAAGCUGCGAAACCCUUGCCCCAACAAGGAGAAAGAGUGCCAGCCCCCGUUUGCCUUCAGGCACGUGCUGAAGCUGACCGACAACUCCAACCAGUUUCAGACCGAAGUCGGGAAGCAGUUGAUUUCCGGAAACCUGGAUGCACCCGAGGGUGGGCUGGACGCCAUGAUGCAGGUCGCCGCCUGCCCGGAGGAAAUCGGCUGGCGCAACGUCACGCGGCUGCUGGUGUUUGCCACUGAUGACGGCUUCCAUUUCGCGGGCGACGGGAAGCUGGGCGCCAUCCUGACCCCCAACGAUGGCCGCUGUCACCUGGAGGACAACAUGUACAAGAAGAGCAAUGAAUUCGACUACCCAUCGGUGGGCCAGCUGGCACACAAGCUGGCUGAAAACAACAUCCAGCCCAUCUUCGCGGUGACCAGUAGGAUGGUGAAGACCUACGAGAAACUCACCGAGAUCAUCCCCAAGUCAGCCGUGGGGGAGCUGUCUGAGGACUCCAGCAACGUGGUCCAGCUCAUUAAGAAUGCUUACAAUGUGAGUCUCCCGCACCACUCAGCUGAGACCCAUGGGGUGGCCAACAAUCUCCCCACUGCAGGUCAGCAGGAGGGUGGUCUGGGAGGAAGGCCCCUGCCCUGUGGGCCGGCCGCAGCCUCCAGACCAGCCCUCGGGCCUCCAGGACACCCUGGCCUGGCACUUCCACGGGGAGCUCUGGGUCCUCUCUCGUUGAUGGUGUAGGCGAUGCACCCUGAAACCCGAGCUCAGGCCCUCUUCAUUCUGGACUCUUCUCUGCGGGUCUCUAUGGAGAAGGAGGUGGACAGCUCUGGCGGCAGACACUGCAGCUGGGGCAGGAGGAGGCGACAGGAAACCCCCACGGUGGACCUGGGCCCUGGGAAGACACCCUGGGGGGUGGAAUUCCUCUUGCUCUCUUCACCUGUCCUGGGCAAGCCCCAGAGAAGCCCUCACCCUCUGAAUUUCUCCCUGGUGCAAGCCCAUCAAGCUGCACCCUGGGCUGCUCCCCUGGGGAGCCCGUGGCCCUGGUGGGUAUAGGUAGGCGCAGGUGCGCACUAGGUGCGGCUCAGGGCCCCAGGCACCAGAGGUCUCAACUGCUCUGGAAAUCUACCCAGGUGAGAGAUGUUCUCAGAAUUCUGGCCUGGAUCCUUCUAGGCCAAAGGUCCUGCUGGCUUGAGGGAGCUCAGCACAUCAGCACCUCCGACAAACGCUAGGUCAUUGAAUUAAACUGAAGGCCCGUGGAGGAGGUGCCAUUUGCUUCUCGUAGCCUCCUGUGAGCCCCAAACCCCCAGAGCAGGCCCUCCUGGGUGCCAGCCACUGCCCGAGGUGUUUCUGUCCUUACACAGAGGAUGCAGGUGACGCCACUGUCCUGGCCAUUCACCCGAUGCCCCUAUGAACCUGUCCCUCUGCCUCCUCUCAAUUUCCAUCUGUCUCUCAGUCUUUGUCUCUGUCUCUCUUUCUCUGUCUCUGCCGCAUCUCUGUCUGUCUCUGUCUCUGCCUUUCUCUGUUUCUCGCUGUCUCUCUGUCUCUGGCUCUGGCUCUGCCCAUCUCUGUCUGUCUCUGCCUCUCUCUGUUUCUCCCCAUCUCUCUUAUCGCUUGAAGAAUUUAUCUAGCUCCUGCCCUGUGCUAGGUCCUGGGGACUCAAGGCUGAGGAGCAGCAGAAGCUCCCAUCCCUGAGGCUCAUACCCUGGCUCCAUGCUAGUCCCUGUGGUCGGGCUGUCUUGAGGGCAGGACUGUGGCCCUGGCAGCCCUGCCAUCUUCAGCACAUCCUGCUGUGCUCUCCUCUAUGUCAUUAGCUGACACUGGGGACUUGCAGGGAGAGGAGAAGUGGAGAUGGAUCUAAAUCGCUGGGCCAGGCAGGGCCAGGACAACAGAAAGACUCGCCCCUAAAAGUGGCCGCUCUCUGCCCGCAGAAACUCUCCUCCAGGGUCUUCCUGGAUCACAACGCCCUCCCUGACACCCUGAAAGUCACCUAUGACUCCUUCUGCAGCAAUGGAGUGACGCACAGGAACCAGCCCAGAGGUGACUGUGAUGGCGUGCAGAUCAAUGUCCCGGUGAGCCUGGCCACGAGGGUCCCUAUCCCAGCUCGCUGAGGGGCUCCGGGGACAGCCAGAAGGAGCCAGGGUCCCCAUCCCAGCACGCUGAGGGGUUCCAGGGACAGCCAGAAGGAGCCAGGGUCCCCAUCCCAGCACCCUGACGGGGGCAGGGAGGGGCACACAGGCAUCAGAGGCUGUCUGGGAGCAGGCAGCAUCCACUGGCAAGUCCCUGUUUCUUUCUUUCACCUCCUCUCUGUCGAGGCCAGAUGCUUUCCUUGUGAAGCUGAUGUCAGGAACGUCAGUGAGAGGGUGCCGGGAGGGUGCUUCUCAGUGAGAGGGUGCUGGGAGGGAUCUUCACACAUGCCUUGGCCCAAGAGUCCUACUCAUCAACCUGGAGCCCCAAAUCCCUGGGUCAGGCCAGUGUAGACUGAGGGAUGGAGUGAUGGCUGCACCGCCUGGGGGCAGACGCCGGAUGCACUCCCUGGGUCAGGCCAGUGUAGACUGAGGGACGGAGUAAUGGCUGCACCCCCUGGGGGCAGAUGCCGGACUCACGGAACAGGCACAAACAGCAAACCCGGAUCACCUUCCAGGUGAAGGUCACAGCUACAGAGUGCAUCCAGGAGCAGUCGUUUGUCAUCCGGGCGCUGGGCUUCACGGACAUAGUGACCGUGCGGGUCCUUCCCCAGUGCGAGUGCCGGUGCCGGGACCAGAGCAGAGACCGCAGCCUCUGCCAUGGCAAGGGCUUCUUGGAGUGCGGCAUCUGCAGGUGUGACACUGGCUACAUUGGGAAAAACUGUGAGUGCCAGACACAGGGCCGGAGCAGACAGGAGCUGGAAGGAAGCUGCCGGAAGGACAACAACUCCAUCGUCUGCUCAGGGCUGGGGGACUGUGUCUGCGGGCAGUGCCUGUGCCACACCAGCGACGUCCCUGGCAAGCAGAUAUAUGGGCAGUACUGCGAGUGUGACACCGUCAACUGUGAGCGCUACAACGGCCAGGUCUGCGGCGGCCCGGGGAGGGGGCUCUGCUUCUGCGGGAAGUGCCGCUGCCUCCCGGGCUUCGAGGGCUCCGCGUGCCAGUGCGAGAGGACCACCGAGGGCUGCCUGAACCCGCGGCGCGUUGAGUGCAGUGGCCGUGGCCGGUGCCGCUGCAACGUAUGUGAGUGCCAUUCAGGCUACCAGCCGCCUCUGUGCCAGGAGUGCCCCGGCUGCCCCUCACCCUGCGGCAAGCUCAUCUCCUGUGCCGAGUGCCUGAAGUUUGAAAAGGGCCCCCUUGGGAAGAACUGCAGCGCGGCGUGUCAGCGCCGGCAGCUGUCGAACAACCCCGUGAAGGGCAAGACCUGCAAGGAGAGGGACUCAGAGGGCUGCUGGGUGACCUACACACUGGAGCAGCAGGACGGGAUGGACCGCUACCUCAUCUAUGUGGAUGAAAGCCGAGAGUGUGUGGCAGGCCCCAACAUCGCCGCCAUCGUCGGGGGCACCGUGGCAGGCAUCGUGCUGAUUGGCAUCCUCCUCCUGGCCAUCUGGAAGGCUCUGAUCCACCUGAGUGACCUCCGGGAGUACAGGCGCUUUGAGAAGGAGAAGCUCAAGUCCCAGUGGAACAAUGAUAAUCCCCUUUUCAAGAGCGCCACCACGACGGUCAUGAACCCUAAGUUUGCUGAGAGUUAGGAGCACUUGGUGAAGACAAGGCCGUCAGGACCCACCGUGUCUGCCCCAUCACGUGGCCGAGACGUGGCUUGCGACAGCUCUUGAGGAUGUCACCAAUUAACCAGAAAUCCAGUUAUUUUCCGCCCUCAAAAUGACAGCCGUGGCCGGCUAGGUGCUUCUGGGGGCUCGUCGGGGGGACAGCCCCACUCUGACCAGCACAGUCUUUGCAUGGAGACUUGAGAAGGGAGGGCUUGAGGCUGGUGAGGUUAGGUGCAUGUUUCCUGUGCAAGUCAGGACAUCAGUCUGAUUAAAGGUGGUGCCAAUUUAUUUACAUUUAAACUUGUCAGGGUAUAAAAUGACAUCCCAUUAAUUAUAUUGUUAAUCAAUCAUGUACAUAGAAAAAAAAAUAAAACUUCAAUACAGGCUGUCCAUGGAAA
rnacentral:sRNA from 1 species